rnacentral:misc_RNA from 1 species
UACGGAGGGUGCAAGCGUUGUCCGGAAUCAUUGGGUGUAAAGGGUGCGUAGGCGGAAGCCUAAGUCGGGGGUGAAAUCUUGCCGCUUAACGGUAAAAUUGCCUUCGAUACUGGGUUUCUUGAGUUCGGAAGAGGAUGGUAGAAUUCCAGGUGUAGCGGUGAAAUGCAUAGAUACCAUGAAGAACCCCGAUUGCGAAGGCAGCUCGCUGUGCCGAAACUGACGCUGAGGCACGAAAGCGUGGGGAGCGAACAGG